rnacentral:lncRNA from 10 species
AUUUCAUACUUAAAACAAUAUUCUAUGCAAAAUGCUAUAAUUUCCCCUUGCCUCCAAUUUACACAUGAUAAAACUGAGCCUAGUAAAAUUAAGUAUCAUGCCCCAAAGUUCUCUGCUUAGUAAGAAGUAGAGGCAAGCCCAAACCUAAGUCAUCUGAUUUCAGAGCCCAUACAGUUAAAUGCUCUAAAUGCAGCUUCCCGUGAUGAUGGUGACUAUGAGAGCCUGUCACAUAUGAUGUAGGACAGUGCUUCCCUGUAACAUGCACAAGAUUCCCGUGAUGAUGGUGAUUAUGAGAAGCCUGUCACAUAUGAUGUAGGACAGUGCUUCCCUGUAACAUGUGCAAGAUUCCCAUGAUGAUGGUGACUAUGAGAGCCUGUCACAUAGGAUGUAGGACAGUGCUUCCCUGUAACAUGCACAAGAUUCACCCAGGGAUCUCUUUAAAAUGCAAAACCAUAGACCACACUUUGACUGGCUUGGAUAAGGGGUCAGAGCAUCGAAAUGAGUGUGUAGGUGACUGUGCUAAAAUUCUCCUGCUCAUGUGGGCACUGGCUCAUGAUAUUAACAAAGCUUAGGACCUCUAGUCCUUUCUGGAAAGAAAAUACACAUACAUAGCAUGUGACUGUGCAUAUGGAAUAUCUGUUGUGUUCUGGACAUUGUGCUGGACAACAGAGAUAAGAAGUCAAAUAUCCCUUGUCUCUAUCUGAAAGGAGCUUCC